rnacentral:rRNA from 1 species
UACGUAGGAGGCAAGCGUUGUCCGGAAUUACUGGGCGUAAAGCGCGUGUAGGUGGUGGGACAAGUCUGCUGUGAAAGCGCCUGGCUUAACCGGGCGAGGUCGGCGGAAACUGUUCGACUAGAGGACGGUAGAGGGGGGUGGAAUUCCCGGUGUAGUGGUGAAAUGCGUAGAGAUCGGGAGGAACACCUGUGGCGAAGGCGGCCCCCUGGGCCGGCCCUGACGCUGAGGUGCGAAAGCGUGGGGAGCGAACAGG